CUGACGGCAAAGAAGCCAGAUGCAUGCUUUCCACCGCACAGGAAGGAGCAAAGGCCUUUUUACUGAACUGACCUCAAGCCCAUCUAUGUCUUUUUUCUGGCAACUCAAUCUUCGCAGCCGAAUGAUUUCACAGAGCUACUAGGAAAUGGUCACUCAGUGAGCAGCUAAGGCGAAGGUUUCCAAGCAGGACAGUGUGCAAAGAGGGUGGAAUGAGCCUGGG